CCGGGGUCUAUGGAGGAGAAGUAGGGGCUGGCUGGAGGAUGAAUAGGGACGUGGAGACCUGACUGACGGUUCGAGCUAACGAUGGAGUGGGAAGCACUUGAAACAACAGACGUCGGAUCAGCGUUUAUACUCACCCCGGCGUGGAGAGAGAAGACAAGGUCGCUGCUAAAGCGGAUUCUCAUGAAGCCUUAUCAGGAGGAGGAGAAGAGAAGAAGGGGAAAAAAAACCUGAAUGAGGACCUCAGACUGUUUGCGGCCCAUGCAGCUGGGCAGAAUGAAGCGAUUCCCAUUAUUACAUCGAGAGUUAUUGCUCCCCUCUUGCGAGACCCCCAUCCAGUUUGGACCAUUACUAUUUCUGGCAAUGUUUACCUCAGGAAGGAACUUUCGCAGAUUUAAUGGGACCUGGGCCAUUGUACACAGACUUCUGUAUGGCACGCUGCCAUCAUUUCCACAGGGAGAAGAGAGAAAUGACGAGAGGGCUACGUCUAAAGUCAAUUCAAAACAAGAUUGUCCCAUUUAUGUGACCCAGAGCACAUCACCUCCAUGAGAGCAUGAACUCUCUCAGAGGUUCAGUGAAGACAGUGUUCAUUUAAACCAAAGCGAAUAAAAAUGU